AGUAGUGUUGUUAAAUGUGGGAAGUAGUGAGCAUUGUGGAAGAAUACAAGUGAGAUAUCUUAGGGUUGACAGAUAGUUGACAGGGUGUUCAAUAUGGCGAUGACAGUGUGAACAAUAUGGCAAGCAAAACCGAACGGCCCGAAGCUGCAAAACUACGACCCGAAUGAAAUAAUUCGCGAAAAAAUAACGGGAAAUGCCAGGGUUCCGAGGUGCUGUUUGGUGACCAGGGUUUUGUGCAGCUCCGAAAAAAGAUGAAACAGGGUUCUGUAUUUAUUGGAAUUAC